CAAUAGCGUAUAUUUAAGUUGUUGCAGUUAAAAAGCUCGUAGUUGGAUUUCGGAUGGGAUUUGCCGGUCCGUCGUUACGAUGUGCACUGGCCAGUCCUAUCUUGUUGUCGGGGACUAGCUCCUUGGAUUCACUUCCUGGGACUAGGAGCUGACGAGGUUACUUUGAGUAAAUUAGAGUGUUCAAAGCAAGCCUACGCUCUGAAUACAUUAGCAUGGAAUAACACGAUAGGACUCUGGCUUAUCUUGUUGGUCUGUGAGACCAGAGUAAUGAUUAAGAGGGACAGUCGGGGACAUUCGUACUUCAUUGUCAGAGGUGAAAUUCUUGGAUUUAUGAAAGACGAACUUCUGCGAAAGCAUUUGUCAAGGAUGUUUUCAUUAA
rnacentral:rRNA from 1 species